rfam:Subdoligranulum variabile DSM 15176 genomic scaffold Scfld1, whole genome shotgun sequence.
GAUUGUACGUUGCGAGCUUAAGCACUUCAGGUGCGGAGGCGUAGCGAGAGCGAGUCUGAAUAGGGCGUUCAGUAGCGUGCAAUGGGCCCGAAACCGGGUGACCUACCCAUGAUCAGGCUGAAGUGAAAGUAAAAUUUCAUGGAGGGCCGAACCGACCUCCGUUGAAAAGGCGGCGGAUGAAUUGUGGGUAGCGGAGAAAUUCCAAUCGAACUCGGAGAUAGCUGG